rnacentral:lncRNA from 1 species
CGGAUCUGCAAGGGAUAAGUUGGGAGUGGAUCAGAUGAUUAUAUACAUGUGAAAUGCGCCCGUGUCGCCACCGGAAAGAUGCUCGAAAUGGUAUGUCGGGUAUCACCUUAAUGUUCUUUCAGGACGGCGUAUUUCUCCCCGCCGACUGCCGCUUAUUUCCUGCUUGCCCGUGUGAACUCGUCCUUGUGAUCCGAAAAAAUGCCAAUUCUCAUAUUUUAUUUCGAUAUGCCUGGGCUGGUUAUGUAUUACCCAGACAGGAUGUGACAUCACCGGGGUCCAAACUAAAAAAUGUCGCAGGACAGGCUGUCUAGGAUGUCCAGAACCCUGGAGGAUGCUGCCUCGCAGUGGGGUCCAGACAUGUGAUGUUCGCUGGAGGAUGCAGGAGAUAACCACGCAGGUGAGACAGAUGCACAGGAAGCUAAAAUGUCUCUUUUCUCUACCCCCUGGUUUGAGUAUGACCCCUCCCCUGGCUUGUGACCCUUCACCUGGAUAACACUCCUGGCAGUUGUCUCUGGGACAGACUACUCAUGUUGAACCAUAGGUGCUGCACCAGAGCUGUGAUGAUGCUCCCCGAGGCCUCCUCUCUCACCCCAUGUUCUGACUCCCUGGGAUGUGUGGAGCUGUGAGGUCCACUGUCACCGCCCGUCACCACCCAUGGCCCUGGAAGAGAAGAGGUGACGGAGCAGUUUGUCUGUUGACCUUUCCCCUCUCAGUCAGAUCGGUCCUCAUCUCUGUUCCAUCCCCUUUGGCAACACCUGUCUCUCUGUGGCCUUCAUGUAUUUGCUCAUGGUCGUGCCUCAGUGUGUACAUGGUGUGUUACCUAUGUUUUCCUGGACAUUUAAAGUUCAAGUGGAAUCUUUGUUGGCUAUCCAAUAGCAUUCUGUUAUUUGGUAUUAUGGAAUUAUAAAGAGGGGGGUAAUCCAUGUGGAUCAUGGGUCAUAAAAGUUCACAUUAUAGUAAUUUCCCCUGAUUAGAGUCUUGGUGGUCAUACAAUUAAUUUGAUUUUAUGGAAAUAAUUAAAUGAAGGAUCCAAGUGUGAAGUAGGCUACAGUAUUUGGAUAACUGAUUUGUGUGGGUGAAAUGGGGAUCACUGUUUUCACUGUGAAAUUAUAUGAGUUAGGGACAAAUGUUUUUGUAUUUUAUCAUUUUAUACAUAUUAACAUAUUAACAUACUGCCUUGCAGGGAAACUGAAAACUGCACAGGUGAUCAUUUUACCAAAGUCAGGCAUGAUUCUUAUGUUUUGGAUUUCUAGACUCGAUACAUAAGCAAAGUCUGCUGAAUGAUUUGACUUAGGCUACAGUGUGUCAAACAGGUUUAAAGUUCUUAAAAUUAUUGUUGUCAUAGAAGACGCCAGUAUUGCAUGUUGAAAGAACGAUAAAGAAUGUCUGAUUCAAACCAAAAUAAAAUAAUGUACAGUCUGUUGUGUUAUGUGAUAGCCUUUCCCCACUGUUCAAUUCCUAUCUAGCAGAGCAGACAUAUGCAUCUACUGGACUAGCCGGAUGGACAUGCAACUGUAUGGAAUGCGCAAAAACUAUUGGGCAUAUUGCACGAAACUAUUAUCCAACCAUAGUUCCAGCUGUCUUGAAACAGUUUUGCUCUGAUUGACAGCUCCAUGACAAAAAUGUAAAGUGUAUUAGAUCGUUGGUUAUUCCUAG